UACGGAGUGUGCGAGCGUUACUCGGAAUCACUGGGCAUAAAGAGCACGUAGGCGGGGAUUCAUGUCCGUGGUGAAAUCCCCCAGCUCAACUGGGGUACUGCUUCGGAAACUGUGUCUCUUGAGGACGAGAGGGGAGAGUGGAACUUCUGGUGGAGCGGUGAAAUGCGUAGAUAUCAGAAGGAACACCGGUGGCGAAAGCGACUCUCUGGCUCGUUUCUGACGCUGAGGUGCGAAAGCUUGGGGAGCAAACAGG
rnacentral:rRNA from 1 species